rnacentral:lncRNA from 1 species
UAGCAUCCAGUAGCCGCCCUGUUAUGUAUCAGGCCUAUAAUGCCCUUCUUUCUUAUUUUAUUUUAUUUUUUCUUUCGGGCGAAGCCUAUAAUGCCCUUUAAAUCCAAUGAGAUUAGCGAGAAUAUUCAUGUUUUUUUUUCUUUAGUCAGAUGGAUAAUUAAGUCGAAAACGCCCAAAUUUAUAGUAGAAAAUCAAACAAACAAAAUCUCCAAAGUCCAACAUACAAAGGACCAACCCAAGUGCAAAUCUUAGAGAUUCAACUUUCUUGACUAAAAUCCAACCCAGCAGCAAGAACCUCCAGUUUUCCGAAAUCUUCUCUCUUUCUCCAGAAUCUGCGGCCACUAAGGAGAUUUGAUUACGGUAGCCUCAUAAAACUCCUACUGUAGCUGUAGAGGCUGAUUGGAAGUCCAGUGGCAGAGAAAGAAAAGUGGCAACCAUCUUCAACACAGAGAUCCAGAGACAGAGGAGAAGUCUCACCGCCACCAAAUUGAGCUGAUCAACCACAAACAUCACAAAUAUAAUUUAAAACAACUCACUCAGCACCGAAAUCAAGAGAUCUUAACACUUCAAAAGCAUGAACUCAUAAUAAAUUGGGAAAGUGGAGGGGACAUUACGCCGGUGGGUCUCUGCCUCUUAUCGUCCCAAACAAUCGCCAUGUGUUGCUCUCUUCAAUGUAUCAAGACAUUACUUCAUUUAUCGAGCAAAUUUUUUUAUUAAGCCUAAUUUAUAAUUUAUAUGAAAUUUUCAGUAAUUUUUAUAUGAAUCCUGCC